rnacentral:rRNA from 1 species
UACGAGGGGGGCGAGCGUUGUUCGGAAUUAUUGGGCGUAAAGGGCGCGUAGGCGGUCGGAUAAGUCUUGUGUGAAAUCUUCGGGCUCAACUCGAAGUCUGCACAGGAAACUAUCUGGCUUGAGUGUGGGAGAGGUGAGUGGAAUUCCUGGUGUAGCGGUGAAAUGCGUAGAUAUCAGGAGGAACACCUGUGGCGAAAGCGGCUCACUGGACCACAACUGACGUUGAGGCGCGAAGGCUAGGGGAGCGAACGGG